GGGUACCAAUAUACAAUGAAGCCAAAUUGGCGUUGUUUAUAUAUCUCUGGUCUUCUAAGGAGAAAGGCACGGCCUAUCUUUAUAAUCGCUUCUUCCGAGACUUUGUGGCACAACAUGAGGCAGAAAUUGAUAGUAAGAUAUUGGAAUUCAGAGUUAAGACUAGGGAUUUUGCAAACCUAUCUUGUCAAAAGGCUCUAAAUUAUGGCCAAAAAGGUGUUUAUGAGAUUUUGGAGUAUGUUUAUUCUCAUCAGUCGGCGCCACAGCCUCAUUCUGAUCAGAAGCAAGAGAAGGGCACUGGAAAAGUAAUUGCUGCUGGUCAGUCUGAAGCUGUGGCAAGGGACCAAAGAACAACAAGCGACUUUGAAGAGAAACCAACUGAAUCAGUACCAUUGUCUGAAAAUGGAACCCCAAUUCUUCCCAGCAGAAACCACUGGUUAAAGAAGCUCAUCAGAUGAUGCGUCGCAUACUGCACCAAAUUAUAUUAAUGUGAUUUACCAAUUUUCAGCCUUUACAAAAUACAAUUUUAUGUCUUGUUAGUCUUAAUUACUUCCUA